rnacentral:rRNA from 1 species
GCGCGAAAACUUUACAAUGCUGGCAACAGCGAUAAGGGAACCUCGAGUGCCAGGUUACAAAUCUGGCUGUCGAGAUGCCUAAAAAGCAUUUCAUAGCAAGGGCCGGGCAAGACCGGUGCCAGCCGCCGCGGUAACACCGGCGGCUCGAGUGGUAACCGUUAUUAUUGGGUCUAAAGGGUCUGUAGCCGGCCGAAUAAGUCUCUUGAGAAAUCUGGCAGCUUAACUGUCAGGCUUUCAGGAGAUACUGUCUGGCUCGAGGCCGGGAGAGGUGAGAGGUACUUCAGGGGUAGGGGUGAAACCUUGUAAUCCUUGAAGGACCACCAGUGGCGAAGGCGGCUCACCAGAACGGACCUGACGGCAAGGGACGAAAGCUAGGGGCACGAACCGG